CACAUGCGUUUAAGUUAGCGUGUGAGUUUUUAUUUUGGAACGCAAGCGCAAAACACAGUUUUUUGGCGUUCCAAUGUAUAAUUAAUACAUUGUAGAAUAAGGUCACUUAUGUGCACAGAGUUUGUUGUGAAUCUAUAUGGUAUUUGAAUUUGGUGUAUUUAAUUAUGCUUUUAAUUUAUUGUAAUAAUUAUCGAGGUUCUUCAAAUAAGAAGAGUGGGAGGAGCAACUCAAUACAAAAAAUUUAUAAGCACUGCUUAUUAUAAACGCAUAAAAGAUAUUGUUGGUGAAAAAUUAUUGUUGGUGAUAAAAUUGUGAACGAUGCAUGCAACAUCGAGGGUACCAUUGACGACAUAUUAAAAUGAGCCUAAAAAUAAUUGUUUUGCUUGAUUGUGUUCAUAUAUUAUUAUUCUCAAAAGAAACAUUCUUUUUAA